GAUGAACGCUGACAGAAUGCUUAACACAUGCAAGUCUUUGGCGAAUCUGUGCUUGCACAGGCUAGCCAAGGCGGACGGGUGAGUAACGCGUAAAGAACUUGCCCUGCAGACAGGGAUAACAGACGGAAACGACUGAUAACACCUGAUACAGUUGCCGGCACGCAUGUGCCUGGCAAUGAAAAGAGAUGCUGCAGGAGAGCUUUGCGUCCUAUUAGCUUGUUGGUGAGGUGACGGCUCACCAAGGCGAUGAUAGGUAGCCGGCCUGAGAGGGUGAACGGCCACAAGGGGACUGAGAUACGGCCCUUACUCCUACGGGAGGCAGCAGUGGGGAAUAUUGGACAAUGGGGGCAACCCUGAUCCAGCAAUUCUGUGUGCACGAAGAAGGUUUUCGGAUUGUAAAGUGCUUUCAGCAGGGAAGAAGAAAGUGACGGUACCUGCAGAAGAAGCGACGGCUAAAUACGUG
rnacentral:rRNA from 1 species